CAUGCAGCCGAGCGGUAGAGAUCUUUCGGGAUCUUGAGAGCGGCGUACGGGUGCGGAACACGUGUGCAACCUGCCUUUAUCUGGGGGAUAGCCUUUCGAAAGGAAGAUUAAUACCCCAUAAUAUGUUGGAUGGCAUCAUUCGACAUUGAAAACUCCGGUGGAUAGAGAUGGGCACGCGCAAGAUUAGAUAGUUGGUGAGGUAACGGCUCACCAAGUCUGCGAUCUUUAGGGGGCCUGAGAGGGUGAUCCCCCACACUGGUACUGAGACACGGACCAGACUCCUACGGGAGGCAGCAGUGAGGAAUAUUGGACAAUGGGUGAGAGCCUGAUCCAGCCAUCCCGCGUGAAGGACGACGGCCCUAUGGGUUGUAAACUUCUUUUGUAUAGGGAUAAACCUACUCUCGUGAGAGUAGCUGAAGGUACUAUACGAAUAAGCACCGGCUAACUCCGUGCCAGCAGCCGCGGUAAUACGGAGGGUGCAAGCGUUAUCCGGAUUUAUUGGGUUUAAAGGGUCCGUAGGCGGAUCUGUAAGUCAGUGGUGAAAUCUCACAGCUUAACUGUGAAACUGCCAUUGAUACUGCAGGUCUUGAGUGUUGUUGAAGUAGCUGGAAUAAGUAGUGUAGCGGUGAAAUGCAUAGAUAUUACUUAGAACACCAAUUGCGAAGGCAGGUUACUAAGCAACAACUGACGCUGAUGGACGAAAGCGUGGGGAGCGAACAGGAUUAGAUACCCUGGUAGUCCACGCCGUAAACGAUGCUAACUCGUUUUUGGGCUUUCGGGUUCAGAGACUAAGCGAAAGUGAUAAGUUAGCCACCUGGGGAGUACGAACGCAAGUUUGAAACUCAAAGGAAUUGACGGGGGCCCGCACAAGCGGUGGAUUAUGUGGUUUAAUUCGAUGAUACGCGAGGAACCUUACCAAGGCUUAAAUGGGAAAUGACAGGUUUAGAAAUAGACUUUUCUUCGGACAUUUUUCAAGGUGCUGCAUGGUUGUCGUCAGCUCGUGCCGUGAGGUGUUAGGUUAAGUCCUGCAACGAGCGCAACCCCUGUCACUAGUUGCCAUCAUUAAGUUGGGGACUCUAGUGAGACUGCCUACGCAAGUAGAGAGGAAGGUGGGGAUGACGUCAAAUCAUCACGGCCCUUACGCCUUGGGCCACACACGUAAUACAAUGGCCGGUACAGAGGGCAGCUACACAGCGAUGUGAUGCAAAUCUCGAAAGCCGGUCUCAGUUCGGAUUGGAGUCUGCAACUCGACUCUAUGAAGCUGAAUCGCUAGUAUCGCG
rnacentral:rRNA from 1 species